rnacentral:rRNA from 1 species
GGCCUGUCGAUGUCUAUACUGCAGUCGAACGACGGCUUCGGCCUUAAAGGCGCACGGGUGCGUAACGCGUGGGAAUCUGCCCUUAGGUUCGGAAUAACAGCUGGAAACGGCUGCUAAUACCGGAUGAUAUCGCGAGAUCAAAGAUUUAUCGCCUGAGGAUGAGCCCGCGUUGGAUUAGGUAGUUGGUGGGGUAAAGGCCUACCAAGCCGACGAUCCAUAGCUGGUCUGAGAGGAUGAUCAGCCACACUGGGACUGAGACACGGCCCAGACUCCUACGGGAGGCAGCAGUGGGGAAUAUUGGACAAUGGGCGCAAGCCUGAUCCAGCAAUGCCGCGUGAGUGAUGAAGGCCCUAGGGUUGUAAAGCUCUUUUACCCGGGAAGAUAAUGACUGUACCGGGAGAAUAAGCCCCGGCUAACUCCGUGCCAGCAGCGGGCGGUAAUA